UAAAUAGCCAAAUAAAUUUAAAAACAAUAUAGUCCCAGGAUUCUGAUGUAAACUUCUCUACACAACACUUUUUUAUUCAUAUUCUAGGCAGAUCAGUCUCUUACUCCUUCUACACACUUCUAGUGUUAAUUUACUAACAUUACAGUGCUGUACUGAAAGACUUUCCCUAACUCUUCAUCUGUGCAUAUUCUAUUCAUUCGUCAAAUAUAACUGGCAUUCUGUCUUUUUUUAUAGAACCUAACCACUUCCUUAUCAAAACUGAGAGGAGAAGGAUAGCUUCCUUCACAAUUUUUGUUGCUAAUCUAUCAAUAUUUGCUUCUGUUUAACUCUUAGCUACCUUCAUAGGUGGUAACUGGUGGGAGAUGCUGGAGCUUAGGUCUUUCAGAAUCUCAACAUCCAGAUAGUGUUGCACACACAAGUGUUUUUAAAGUUGGUAGAGAUUUGUCCUCCCUACUUCCCAAGGAAAGGCUGUACCUAUGAUAACAAAUGUUCUUGAAGAUCCUAGAGUUGGGGAACCCCAAGUUUUCUACAAAGUCUAUAUGAAUAAUUAAACCAUAAUGUUAGAUUUACUGUAUAGUUUUCCCAGCAAGAAUUUUAAAGCAGAAAGAAGGUAUUCAUGAAUCUCUGAAUCCAGAAUGCAUUCUAGAACUUCCAGAACUGCCAAUAGACACAGCUAUUUAAGCUAAAUUGGAAGGAAAAAAAAUCCACUUUUCCAAUCAUAUUCCAAUCAGCCUAUAAAAGUGCUCCAAAGAUGUACAAACAGAGUAGAUUAUUUAUGCCACUGAGCUAAAUGUUAUUGGACAAAUAUGUUCUAGACUAAUGAGAAACAAAUAGUGAAAAUAAAUUCCUAUUUUCUAUACAUGGCAUUCUAGAAUAUAUGCCCACUUGAGGAUUCUAUCUAAAAUUAUUCAAUAGAUUUGAAUUAUAAAACUGAUAAGAUUUCAUUCAAAAUCAAGUUCAUAUUGGUUAAAGUCCUUGUUUCUACUACCUUUAUACAUUCAGUUUCUUCUCAUACAUAUGCUAUAGCAAUCUCAUCUAUACAGAAGCAUAAAAAUGACCCACAAUAUACUGCUGUCCUACUGCUGUCUUUACUUGGUGUUGAUCACCAGGUAAACACAAGAACUACAGUUUCCUGUUAGUGAAAGUAUAUGUUGAUCUUUAUGACAAUAGUGAAAUUAUCAAACACUUUUCAAAUUAUCUGCCGAAGUUCUGCUACUAAGAUAAGCUUACUUAUAAUAAAAUUACAGUGCCUUCUCCAAAUAUGAAAGACAAGAUUAGAUCAAGAAUACAAGACCUAGAUUUGAUUGUUUGUCUCUGUGCACACCUAUAAACUUGAUUCCACAAAGUUCUGUUUAGUAUUCCCUUGAAAACUGUCAUCUUAAAGUGGAAAUGGAGACAAGAUUGUCCAGGCCCUCAUUGUAACAUGACACUGGUGUGAUACUCUCUACCCGAGCAAUUUCAUUUUGUGGAGUAAAUAACUUUUAUUACUUUCCAAGGUCUUAAAACUUACAGAAAACAUGUCAAAGCAUCCAAAGUUUACUUUCAAUUUCAAGACACUGGAAUGACUAUAAAAAUAAAAAAUUGGAACGAUUUAUAGAUUUGGAUGCCCAACAUUUUACACAUUGCAGACUCUAAGUCCCCUCUGUGGCUUAAAAGGUUGACACUACUCAUUUUAAAAGGAUUGUCUACACAACUAUUGGCCCCUCAGGACUUAGCCACCACAGGACUUCUUUUUGAGUCUUUGGAAAGGGAAAAGAUGAAAAAGAAAUCGAAAAUAUUCCAAACAAAACAAAAAAAGUAUAAACUUAUAUUUUAGUACAUUCCCCAUAAUACAGUAAGCUUAGUGAAAGGACAUAUACAUUCUAUUUUAUUAAUAUAUUUAUACUUUCAGUUCAAAGGAUGAGAAUGAUGAUUUGAUAUUAUUUUCCAUAUUAUUAUCCUAUAUUCAUAAAAGCAAUGUCAACCAGUCAAAGGUAUUCAGCUAUACCUUUCUCUUCAUAAGAAUUUCUGAAUAGGUAAUACACAAUCUAAAAAUGAGAAAAAUAAUUAUUUCUUAGUGAAUAGACAUAGCUGAUCCUACUGUUUCAGUAAAUCUGAAAAGUAGUGGAAAAGCACAAGUCAAACCUAAGUUUUACUUAACACUCUUAACACUGGCAACUGAGGCUACACUUUAUUGAUAUCUACAUGUCAACAUAUUGAAUGAUAAAAGACAAAUAAAA